rnacentral:pre_miRNA from 1 species
GCACUUUCAAAGUGCGUUACUUAUGCACUUUCAAGGUGCGUUACGGUCGCACUUUCGAGGUGAGUAGUUAACGCAUUUUAGAGUGC